rnacentral:rRNA from 1 species
UACAGAGGUCCCGAGCGUUGUUCGGAUUCACUGGGCGUAAAGGGUGCGUAGGUGGCGAGGUAAGUCGGAUGUGAAAUCUCCAAGCUUAACUUGGAAAUGGCAUUGGAAACUACCUUGCUUGAGGUUUGGAGGGGGGACUGGAAUUCCCGGUGUAGUGGUGAAAUGCGUAGAUAUCGGGAGGAACACCAGUGGCGAAGGCGGCUUCCUGGCCUGUCCUUGACGCUGAGGCGCGAAAGCUAGGGGAGCAAACGGG